AGUGAACGCUGGCGGUAGGCCUAACACAUGCAAGUAGAACGGCAGCACAGUAAGAGCUUGCUCUUACGGGUGGCGAGUGGCGGACGGGUGAGGAAUACAUCGGAAUCUACUUUUUCGUGGGGGAUAACGUAGGGAAACUUACGCUAAUACCGCAUACGACCUACGGGUGAAAGCAGGGGAUCUUCGGACCUUGCGCGAUUGAAUGAGCCGAUGUCGGAUUAGCUAGUUGGCGGGGUAAAGGCCCACCAAGGCGACGAUCCGUAACUGGUCUGAGAGGAUGACCAGCCACACUGGAACUGAGACACGGUCCAGACUCCUACGGGAGGCAGCAGUGGGGAAUAUUGGACAAUGGGCGCAAGCCUGAUCCAGCCAUACCGCGUGGGUGAAGAAGGCCUUCGGGUUGUAAAGCCCUUUUGUUGGGAAAGAAAAGCAGCAGGUUAAUACCCCGCUGUUCUGACGGUACCCAAAGAAUAAGCACCGGCUAACUUCGUG
rnacentral:rRNA from 1 species